CAUCAGGGUAUCCACAGUGUUCAAAGAACUUAAAUAGAACGUCUCAUACCAAUCCAAGUAAACCAAGUACAAAAAAUAUUUAUAUAAAGUUGUUCACACAUAGGUCCUAAAUCACCAGCUUCUGUGCAAAACAAAAAGAAAGAAAAAUACAGAUCCAUUUACUAAGAUCAUUAUCUUUAGGUUGGAGUCUGGGUUUAAGCCUUCUGCUCCCACUAGCUUGGCCCAGAGGCUGCUGGAAUGGGGAGAGCCCGGAGCAGGGUCAGGGCAUCCCCAUCCCAGGGCUCACUCUGGGAUUCCAGCACCUCUCUCCAUAGGGAAGCAGCUCAACUGCAAAGCUGCUGUUUUCCGGAUGAACAAGCUGAAGGCAGCUGCUGGAGGGGACAAGCAGAAUGGGGACAUCAAGCGCUCCCGUGCGCUCUUCCAGCAGCCUGGGCAUCACCCUCGGAGCUAAAAGCACUUGGGCAGACUGCAGGGAAACAGGACUUGUCAUGUCGCAGCUGGAACAGAGCAGCUCCUGUGCUUCCCUUCCAGCAGUGCCCAGUGCCCUGCUCCGAGGUGUGGAAUGCUUUGGGACAUGAAGGGCCACACGGUGGGAUGUGCCUGGUGACCAGCUGAGUAGCAGGAGCUGCGGGUGCUGCUCUCCCACCACCAGCAAGAGCUCCCUUGGUGAUGGAACCAGCAGCACAGGAGCAGGGGCUCCACUGCCCAGAUGCUGCCCCUCUGCAGAGCCUGGCCAAUGGGAUGGGAGGCUGCAAGGAUAACAGGUAACACGCUCCCAUCCCAUCCCAUCAGCACACCCAUCCUCCAGCAGCAUCACCAAAAGGGGACCAGGAACCCCCUCGCCCCAGGCAGCUGCAGCGUGAUGCUUGGGCAGCACAGGCCUGGGGUGAUAAAGGGAAGCAGCAACAUGUUUCCCUGCUCUCAUGACCUGCACAAAGUACAGGGAAACAUAUCCCAGUUUGUGCCCUGAAGCAGCUGCCCCAUGGCUCUUGGCAGGCUUAAACCCAGACUCAGUACUGCAUACGGAGGAGACAGACAAUGCACACAACGGAGGAUUUCCACAACGAUGGUAAUGCUUGAUUUCAGUCUUAUUGCUCCAGAAAGGCUCUGGGAGCCUCUGAUAUGUGAAGGAGCUGGGUCCUGAGGAGUAAAGGAAGACCAUAGGGGUAACUCUUAUCUGUCACUAGCACUGCUGAACCUCAAACACAGCAGCAAGGGGUGAAGGGGGAGCUAAUCUAACCCCUCUAGGCCAGAGCCACCUCUGUUCUCUCCUCCCCAUGGACCAAAGCUGGCUGGAAGAUCCUCGCAAUGCCUGCAUGAUGCC
rnacentral:lncRNA from 1 species